AGAGUUUGAUCCUGGCUCAGGACGAACGCUGGCGGCGUGCUUAACACAUGCAAGUCGAACGGUGAUCCGGGAGCUUGCUUUCGGUGAUCAGUGGCGAACGGGUGAGUAACACGUGAGUAACCUGCCCCUGACUCUGGGAUAACUGCUGGAAACGGUGGCUAAUACCGGAUAUGAAACCUCUUCGCAUGGGGGGGUUUGGAAAGAUUUUUUGGUUGGGGAUGGGCUCGCGGCCUAUCAGCUUGUUGGUGGGGUGAUGGCCUACCAAGGCGACGACGGGUAGCCGGCCUGAGAGGGCGACCGGCCACACUGGGACUGAGACACGGCCCAGACUCCUACGGGAGGCAGCAGUGGGGAAUAUUGCACAAUGGGCGCAAGCCUGAUGCAGCGACCCGCGUGAGGGAUGGAGGCCUUCGGGUUGUAAACCUCUUUCAGCAGGGAAGAAGCGCAAGUGACGGUACCUGCAGAAGAAGCGCCGGCUAACUACGUGCCAGCAGCCGCGGUAAUACGUAGGGCGCAAGCGUUGUCCGGAAUUAUUGGGCGUAAAGAGCUCGUAGGCGGUUUGUCGCGUCUGCUGUGAAAACCUCAGGCUCAACCUGGGGCUUGCAGUGGGUACGGGCAGACUAGAGUGCGGUAGGGGUGACUGGAAUUCCUGGUGUAGCGGUGGAAUGCGCAGAUAUCAGGAGGAACACCGAUGGCGAAGGCAGGUCACUGGGCCGCAACUGACGCUGAGGAGCGAAAGCAUGGGGAGCGAACAGGAUUAGAUACCCUAGUAGUCC
rnacentral:rRNA from 1 species